CGUGUAGGUGGGGGAGCAAGUCCGGUGGGAAAGCCCGCGGCUCAACCGCGGAAGGACGCUGGAAACUGCUCUUCUUGAGGGUGAUAGAGGGAAGUGGAAUUGCAGGUGUAGCGGUGAAAUGCGUAGAUAUCAGCAGGAACACCCGUGGCGAAGGCGGCUUCCUGGAUCACCCCUGACGCUGAGACGCGAAAGCGUGGGGAGCGAACG
rnacentral:rRNA from 1 species